UACGGAGGGGGCUAGCGUUGUUCGGAAUUACUGGGCGUAAAGCGCGCGUAGGCGGACCUGCAAGUCGGGGGGUGAAAGCCCGAGGCUCAACCUCGGAACUGCCUUCGAUACUGCGGGUCUCGAGUCCGGGAGAGGUGAGUGGAAUUCCUAGUGUAGAGGUGAAAUUCGUAGAUAUUAGGAAGAACACCAGUGGCGAAGGCGGCUCACUGGCCCGGUACUGACGCUGAGGCGCGAAAGGCGUGGGGAGCAAACAGG
rnacentral:rRNA from 1 species